rnacentral:lncRNA from 1 species
AUGGCUGUCACAAAUGUUCCUUUUCAUCCAUGUUGCUGCUGCCAGCAAGGGACUCAUCAGGAAGUUAAAAUACAUCUUGUAGCAUGUAUGUUGCCAAAAAAAAUUGAACUUCCUGAAUGCUGUGCUGAGCUAAACCUGUGCCCUGCUGCUAAAUGUCAGGCUUGGGGAACAAGCGUUGCACUCUCUUCCUUUUUUGUAAUGAGAGGAAGCAGCUUGACUCCUCUUGGUUGAGGUUGUGGAUACAACGGGAGAGAGGUGAAGGGAAAGUGGCCUGUGAGGAAGCUGCCAACAACAGGGAGUCCAGAGCAUCUUAGAUGUACUUUAGAUUUAGAAAUAGAUUUCAGAGUGCAGUUUCCAGCUAGUUUCUUCUGUUUACAGUGGGAACUAUUGUCUCCUUGGCAAGGCAACUAGAAGGCUUUUCUGAUGCUUCCGUCUCGCUCGCUUCCUUCCUUGUGGGGCUAGCUGCUUUGCCUCGUAGCACACGGCGUGUGCUCGCCUUGCCGUCCUGUGGACUUUGAAUAGUCUCUGGGUUUGGGCUUAGUCUGUGUUUUCUCUCUGUGCCAUGACUUGCUGGAGGCAUGGGCACGGCAGGGGAGGUGAGCUUGUAGGGUCUCAGUCUGUGACUUUGCCGUCACCGGGAGUCCCACGCGUGGGAAACCUGGGUGACCGCUCCAUCCUGAGGAGACUGUGCUCGUCGCUGGUUUUGUGAAUAGAGAGCUCUCAAACCCUCAGGCCUUGUCACUCUUCAGCCUGACAUUCGCACAGCUAUUUUUCACGCUUGUUGUGUAAUCUCAAGUCAAAGUUUUUGUUAGCUUUUUAAGUUCUUUAAUCAAAUUGAAUACAUGAGCAACUAACUUCUUCAGUUGAAAUCUGCUGAGCAGAUGGGUUUCAGGCUUGUUUGAUAAGCUCUUCCGUUGCAUCUCUGACUCAAACAUUUCAAAAUCAAGCAUUGCUUCGAUAUCGCUUGACCGUGGCGGCUGCUCUGGGUGACAGCGUGGUCAGCUCUGCAGCUAGGUGUGCUUGUGACUGUGUGCCUUUACCCUGCUCGUGGGCAAGAGUUUCCUUCUGAGAAGUAUUUGCUGUUACUAGAGUGCAAUAACAUUUUGUCAUCAAUGUAUCAGAACAGAUAUAUCUGGAAUCAUCACUUUGCCUCGGAAAUAAACAGGAGGGGCGUGAGCGGGACGGAAAUGAA